ensembl:lncRNA
AAAAAAACUGAGUUAAAAACUAUAUUCUACCCAGAAAUACUUUUUAUUUUUAAUGCAUUGUUUUAUUUUCCAAUGUUGAACUUCACAUCUGUUCUUCAAAUGAUCAAAACUUUAAGCCUGGAUUUGGUUCCAUACAGAACUUUUCAACUGUGGCUUUUUCCUUUAAUUGAGAGUAAAGGGUGUGAAUACUUUUCUCACCACUAGUGGGCAGUAUAACCCAGUACAAACCAAGUAUAAACCAGUACAAACCCAGUAUAACCCAGUACAAACCAAGUAUAAACCAGUACAAACCCAGUAUAACCCAGUACAAACCAAUACAAACCCAGUAUAAACCAGUACAAACCCAGUAUAACCCAGUGUGUGUUGUGUGCGUGUCACUGCUCUCAUAUAGUUAUAAAUGACCAUAUUUGGUCAUGUAAUUUACUUUAUUGAUCAUCAGUCUGAUAAUUAACGUUGAUGCAGAAAAAACACCUUAUUGCAAUAAAAAAAUAAUAACUUAACUAAAGUAAAUGACUGAUGAAAGGUCCUGAAAAUGAUUGUUAAUAAAAGAAACAUUUCAUUCAGUGAAGUAAAGACGUUUAUAUUCACAGUGCAGCAGACAGACGGGUGACAGGCAGCACGAUGUCAUCGCUGACGUGUAACAUCUCAGCUGGAUGAAUGUUACACACUGUUGCUCCACAAUGACAUCAUCACUGUGGUGUGUGUGUGUGUGUGUGUGUGUGUGUGUCUAGCUAAAGUGACCCAGCCUCCUCAGCACCAGGCUGUGAUCGGUCUGCUGACUCUCACGUUCCUGUUGUUCUGGAGGUGAAUCGCUCUGCAACACACGCAAGACUUUACAACCAGGAAGUGAGACCAGCGCGUAAAGACCAACGUGAAGACGCAGGAACACGUCUCGGCCUCCAGUCGAGGUCUCUUCAGUGGGGAUGUGCUCACGGCUCAGGUACGAUGACCCCGUUGACCUCCUGCGGUUCCUCCUGUCGGCUCAAAGGACCCAGAGACCGAAUCAAAGAACACGUCUUUGGACGCACAAACACUCUCCUUCCACCAGUAGUCGCAGCAGGAUCUGUCCUCUGUCCUCGCAGGUCUGCAUGGUCCUGGUUCUGUGGACGUCCUCGGGGACCCUGCUGCUCAGUCGUUGGGGACGUGUUCCCGUUCCGGGGGAACCGACCGCAAAACCCUCAAAGGUCCGAUUGGGCUAAAAUGAAAUAAAAUGAAUUGAAAUAUUCUAAAGGAGCUUUGUCACAAUCCAAAGCGUGUACUAACGUGUACUACUAGCAUGUACUAACAUGUACUACUAGCGUGUACUAACGUGUACUAACGUGAUCAGAUUUGAAUUAUGCAGAAUUUCUGUCAACUCAAAUGAUCAUUUUCACAUUUUGUCACAGAAAGUGUUGGAAAGUAAGAACUUUUUGUUCAUGUGUCAAAUAAAAUAUUAUUUUUAACGAUGCUUGUUUCACUCUCCUGGUGGUGACGUCUCACAGGAGGACACGUGGGAGGACACAUACCUGUAGAUUAUUGUUAUAUCGGACGGACAGACGACAUCUCGUGAUGAAAGUUGUGCUAAAAAGAACAUGUGAGGAGAUCCAGUUGAUUACGUGACAUUAAAACGAUCACAGCUGCACUGUGGUAUCAUUUAUUGAUCACGGUGGUUCUACAAUAUUCUCAUCAUGUUAUUGAUUACGUAGCUCCAGAGUCAUGGCUGUAACCCGGUGACCCUGAAUGUUGAUUUGAGAGCCGGGUGUUUUAUUUCUAACGUCCGCUUCCUGUCAACGCUCGGCGGUGCGUUUGACUUGUCGUCGGGGGGCCGGUCGCUCGGGGCCCAGAGGCCUCUGGGACGCUGCGGGUGAGGAAUAUUACAGGAAGAGGGCGACGGGGGCGAGCUGCUGACGUCCAGCCGUGGUCACCCGCUUAGUCAGAGACAGGAAGUCCUGUUGGUUUUACUCACAGGGAACCCAAAGCAAACACAGCUGGGAUUGGUCAGGUCCCUCCCCCCCAGGCCUCUGCUCCACCAAUCACGUGGAGGCGGAAAAUGACGAGCAGAGCGCCGUCUGUCCGUCUGGCGCCCACAUUUAACCCCUUAAUGAGUCACGCCUUCAAAAUAAAGUACCGUUUCAAACCAAACAAAACAACGGCUUUAAAGGUCUUAUUCAUUUCAAUGUGCUUCAUGUCAACAUUACUUUGCCGUCCCAACUAAUAAUCAAUCGUCAAUAUUCAAUCAGUCAAGAUCACUCAUAAGGAAGAAUGCGUCAAAAUAAAGUUCCUUGUGGGCUUUUGUUUUAUGUUUCAGGGGAAGUUUCUUCUCUCAGAGCCAGAAUGUUUCUGUAUUAUUCCAUAAACACAGUGACCGUUUAUGACUGUGAGACGGAACCUUCACAGAAGCUUCUUUAUUCUUUCUUUCCAAAAUGAGUUUCAAAGGAUUUGAGGGUUUAUAAUUAUACAUGAACUAUUGUUUUCUACUCCAGCGUUUGCUUUAAUAUUCAGUGAUUUACAAGAUUUAGCUGACGGAUAUUUAAUCUACAGCGGCAACAAACGUUGUCAAAGAAAGAAGCCUGAAAUGAUGCGUUGAGGAUAUUGAAGUUUGAUGGACGUUAAGUAGUCCUUUUGUUUUGUAAUCCUUUAUUGUAUCCUAGCAACAUGGUAGUGAUGAAUAAAUAAUAAGACGUUUGUG